rnacentral:rRNA from 1 species
UACGUAGGGUGCAAGCGUUGUCCGGAAUUAUUGGGCGUAAAGAGCUCGUAGGCGGUUUGUCGCGUCUGCUGUGAAAACCCGAGGCUCAACCUCGGGCCUGCAGUGGGUACGGGCAGACUAGAGUGCGGUAGGGGAGAUUGGAAUUCCGGGUGUAGCGGUGGAAUGCGUAGAGAUCCGGAGGAACACCGAUGGCGAAGGCAAUCCCCUGGGCCUGCACUGACGCUCAUGCACGAAAGCGUGGGGAGCAAACAGG